rnacentral:tRNA from 1 species
GCCAGGGUGGCAGACUAGUGCACUAGAUUUAAGCUCUAAACAUAAAGAUUAACUUUUCCUGGUA